rnacentral:rRNA from 1 species
AGUACGGCGAGUGAAGCGGGAAGAGCUCAAAUUUGAAAUCUGGUAGCCUUCGGUUGCCCGAGUUGUAAUCUAGAGAAGUGUUUUCCGUGCCGGCCCAUGUACAAGUCCCUUGGAACAGGGCGUCAUAGAGGGUGAGAAUCCCGUCCUUGACAUGGACCCCCGGUGCUUUGUGAUACACUUUCAACGAGUCGAGUUGUUUGGGAAUGCAGCUCAAAAUGGGUGGUGAAUUCCAUCUAAAGCUAAAUAUUGGCGAGAGACCGAUAGCGAACAAGUACCGUGAGGGAAAGAUGAAAAGCACUUUGGAAAGAGAGUUAAACAGUACGUGAAAUUGUUGAAAGGGAAACGAUUGAAGUCAGUCAUGCUCUUGGGACUUACCUCCCUUGAGUGGGGUCAACAUCAGUUUUGAUCGAUGGAUAAAGGCACGGGGAAGGUAGCACUCUCGGGUGAACUUAUAGCCUCGCGUCAUAUACAUUGAUUGGGACUGAGGAACGCAGCAUGCCUUAUGGCCGGGAUUCGUCCACGUACAUGCUUAGGAUGUUGACAUAAUGGCUUUAAACGACCCGUCUU